UCGUUUUGUUCUAUCUUUUCAUCACAAUUAUAUAUUUACUGAAAUUCAUUGGUGACUAUGUAAUUUUCCAGUGAAUUUUUUCCACACUAAUUUGAUAUUCUGAUACAAUUGCAUUUAGUUACCGUACAUUUGCAAAAGCUUCUGUAAUGAACGUGAAAGACUAAAUUAUCGUGUAUUUACGAUUUGCAGCGAACCGAUGUAAGGGUAAGACUAUAGAGGUAAUAUAUCGUAUCCAAAAUAUUUUAGUUUCCUUGUUUACUGAAACCCAAUGAUUUCAUAUUAAAUACAUUGUCGCCAAUUAACUUGAUGACGUUAUCAAGUAUCUCGCAGCUCUUUCAGCCAAUAUCUCAAAGAAUAACCCAUAGUUAUCACUGCAUGUGCUUGCAUAUAAAGGUGAAAUGGUCUCGAGACUGUGUGUCGGAAAGGUGAUCUCUUGGAUUUGGCAACGUUCGGUCAUUCGUCCUCAGUGGUUUGCCCGCCGUUCGCUCUAAAUGCACAAGCUAUUUUUAUGCCCUCCUCGAGCAAAAGAGGACAAUUUUUCAUGAGAACGUCGCCACGGCAGCUGUCUCGCUUUCGAGAAUUCGCGCUUGAACUUAUUUCGCGUUCGCAAUAGCCUACUUUCAAAAUGUUGGAACUCUUGGUAUCCGACCCAAUUUCCGCGAGAGAAUUUUAAAAUUAGCAACAUGCCACCCACGCUCAUGUGAGUGCCCUUGCCAACGACGAGACACACUAGUGACUGGAGAACGCCAUGUCCUUUUUCGUUUGAUAGUCGAGUAAUGUCGAAUGUGCUAUACAUAACUAAUUGUUAAAUAUGAUGAUUAGCCGUGGUAUAUUUUUGUACUACGCUCAGUAAGCUCGAACCAAAAAUAGCUCAAAAUAAGAAAUUCUGGGUUGGCGCUCGACGAAGG